AGUGAACGCUGGCGGUAGGCCUAACACAUGCAAGUCGAACGGCAGCACAGUAAGAGCUUGCUCUUACGGGUGGCGAGUGGCGGACGGGUGAGGAAUACAUCGGAAUCUACUUUUUCGUGGGGGAUAACGUAGGGAAACUUACGCUAAUACCGCAUACGACCUACGGGUGAAAGCAGGGGAUCUUCGGACCUUGCGCGAUUGAAUGAGCCGAUGUCGGAUUAGCUAGUUGGCGGGGUAAAGGCCCACCAAGGCGACGAUCCGUAGCUGGUCUGAGAGGAUGAUCAGCCACACUGGAACUGAGACACGGUCAAGACUCCUACGGAAGGCAGCAGUGGGGAAUAUUGGACAAUGGGCGCAAGCCUGAUCCAGCCAUACCGCGUGGGUGAAGAAGGCCUUCGGGUUGUAAAGCCCUUUUGUUGGGAAAGAAAAGCAGCAGGUUAAUACCCCGCUGUUCUGACGGUACCCAAAGAAUAAGCACCGGCUAACUUCGUG
rnacentral:rRNA from 1 species